rnacentral:lncRNA from 1 species
CCACGCAUUGCUACCUCUUCUUACUUCUGGUCCAGGCGUUUCUUUUCACCGAUAUUUUAGAAUUAUUGGAAAGGGCCCCAAAGGCCUUGGAAUCUGCAUUACAUAACGAUGGUGGUGAUACAAGUUACAUAGAGGUGUUAAAAAAUUUACAGUACAUCCCCAUAGAAUUUACUAGAAGGCCUGUAACAUAAAAAGUGAGAAAAGCAAUCAGAUCCCGCACCACCAGUCUUGCAUUGAAGCUCCAGAGCACGGACGACCUCAUUGCUGUGAUAAACAGCACCCCGCGGGCCUGCGAUGCAGCAAUGGAGUUUAAAAAACGACGACGGGGGAUUUCCCAAGGCCAACGACAGGCAAGAUGAGCCGGCUGUAGAAACAUCGACUGCUGUGAUGAGAGGUUGUGGCAAAGGUGGUCAACCAUCCUACAAAAAGUAAAUGAUAAUCUAUACGAAU